AAUCAACGCUGGCGGCGUGCCUCAGACAUGCAAGUCGAACGCGAAAGUUUCCUUCGGGAAGCGAGUAGAGUGGCGUCCGGGUGAGUAACACGUAGGUAAUCUACCUUUGGGUGGGGAAUAACAACCGGAAACGGUUGCUAAUACCGCAUAAUGCAGCGGCACCACAUGGUGACAGUUGUUAAAGCGGGGGAUCGCAAGACCUCGCGCCUAAAGAGGAGCCUGCGGCGGAUUAGCAGUUGGUAAGGUAACGGCUUACCAAGGCAACGAUCCGUAGCCGGCCUGAGAGGGGCGGUCGGCCACACUGACACUGAAAUACGGGUCAGACUCCUACGGGAGGCAGCAGUCGGGAAUUUUGGGCAAUGGGCGAAAGCCUGACCCAGCAACGCCGCCGUGAAGGAU
rnacentral:rRNA from 1 species